GAAGAAGGGCAGGAUCCUGAUGAAAUUGGCAUCACAUUGGAAGCCACGAACAGGAAGACAGCAAAGAGAUGUGUUAAAGGCCUGCUCUUCACCAGCUAACAAGUGACUCUCAGGGUGCUGGAGGAGGACACCAAGUAAAAUUAAAAUACAAGCUAAAAACA